rnacentral:piRNA from 1 species
GGUGAUGUGAGAUAUGUGCCAGGUUCU